CCAGCUACAGCCACACACACACACCAGCCGCCGCCGUCCCCCCACCCGCCGCACCGCUCCCUUCCUCCGCUGCUCGCGGCUGCUCGAGCGCCGCGCGAGCUCUGGGUCAGGAGGGGCCGCGCGAGCUCGGGUAGGAGGAAACACCCGCCGUCGGCAUCUGGUUACGCGAGGAGCACGCGAGCUCUGGUCCGAACAAGCACGCCCUACCUCAGGUGGUCACAGAUCAGGUAACAGAUGGACGGUGAGGACAGUGCGCUCGGCAGCGAAAGUGGGUUCCACAGCAAGCUUGUCAGUGGAUCUUUGUUCUGGUCUUCUAGAAUUGGAGAUUGGACAAUUCGAGUUGCUUCCAAUCCACUUUGUCAGCCAAGUGGAAGCACAAUGGAGCUUAGCAAGCUCAGAAGCUCACCAGCAAUGGAUUUAACACUGAAAAACAGUCCCAUGGAAUUGUUUAAAUUGGAGCAAGAGCCGGCUUUGAGUUCAGUUCUUAUGAUGCUUCUAUCUCCUAGCCAAUUUAUUUUCUCUGAGAUGAUGCCAUUGUUAAGCCAGCAAAAACACUUGUAAAGUAUUGCCACUUGAGAUCACUGCACAUGAUGCUUCAGAAAGAGCAACCCAGAUGGCACUCAUGUCCCAUAUAUAGCACUCGAUCAGUUAGACUUUCACUCACGCAUAGCAGCAUGCUUGAUGGUGUCGACAAGCUAUUUAGAGUUCUCAUGGAAGAUGUGGAGCGCUGAGAUGUGUUUGUAGCCAACUAGCCAUAGUUUUUGGACUGCUAGGGUAGGCUUGGUCUUCUGUAUAGUGAAUUAUUUAGAAGUUCAUGGGUUGUGUGCCUGUGUGGUAGGUGACUUGUAGAAUUUAUCCAAACUACAAUUGUACAAAUGUUGAUUUCAAUGAAUAUGAGAUUUGUUUAUACAA